rnacentral:SRP_RNA from 1 species
GGUGGCCCCAUUGGUGCCUCCGCAACAUGAAACCGUGAACCCGGUCAGGCCCGGAAGGGAGCAGCCGAAGCGGUGGAUGUGUGUGCCGGGGGAUCGCUGGUGGGGUCACCCCCAUAU